AACGAACGCUGGCGGCAGGCUUAACACAUGCAAGUCGAACGGAUGGGUGUAGCAAUACAUUUCAUCAGUGGCAGACGGGUGAGUAACACGUGGGAACCUUCCUCGUUGUACGGGACAACUCAGGGAAACUUGAGCUAAUACCGUAUAAGUCCGAGAGGAGAAAGAUUUAUCGCAAUGAGACGGGCCCGCGUCGGAUUAGCUAGUUGGUGGGUAACGGGCCGUACCAACGGACGACGAUCCGUAGCUGAUCUGAGAGGAUGAUCAGCCACACUGGGACGUGAGACACGGCCCA
rnacentral:rRNA from 1 species